rnacentral:rRNA from 1 species
AUGGAGCAGUUGAACUUAGAGGAUGAAGUCUUUGAUGAUCGGGUAAUCAAUGAGAACGACCCGGAUAUCAAUGAGAGCGUCAGGUGGCUAGCCCUAGCUAGGGUUCACAAGGACAAAACCUUCAGCCCGACGGCCUUCUACAAGGAGAUGCGGGCGGCGUGGAAUCCUGCACAACAUGUGAAUUUCCGUCCGGUUGGCCCGAACAUGUUCGUUGUUCAGGCCGCGUGCCUUGGUGACUGGGAA